ACAAAAGCUGUACUGGUUGGGUUUCACUAAGUUGAGGUGGUACUUCAACUCAUUGCGAAUGGCGCCUAAUGCCGUUCAAGCUUGCGUUUUACUUUUGUGUGCUACCAGUAAGAUGGUGCCUGCUA
rnacentral:sRNA from 1 species